GACGAACGCUGGCGGCGUGCUUAACACAUGCAAGUCGAGCGAAAAGGCCCUGCGUUUGUUGGGUGCUCGUUUGCGGAACGCGGGAGUAACACGUGAGUAACAUGCCCUUAUAUGUGGGAUAUCUUCAGGAGACUGGGGCUAAUACCGGGUAGGAUCUCCUGCUGCAUGGGGGUCGUUAGAAAAUUUCGGCUGUUGGGGCUCGACUGGAGGCUUAUCAGCUUCAUGGUGGGGUAGUGGCUUACCAAGGGUUUGACGGGUAGCCGGCCUAAGAGGUUUACCGGCCACAAUGGGACUGCGAUACGGCGCAGUAUCCAAUGGGAGGCAGUAGUGGGGAAUCUUGCACAGUGGCCGGAAGCCUGAUGCAGCAACGCCGCGUGCGGGAUGCCGGCUUUCGGGUUGUAAACAGCUUUCUAAUGUGCUGAAGCGGGAUUGACGGUAAUGGGUAAAGAAGCACCGGCUAACUACGUG
rnacentral:rRNA from 1 species